rnacentral:rRNA from 1 species
AAGGGCGUACGGAGGAUGCCUUGGCUCUCAGAGGCGAAGAAGGACGUGAUAAGCUGCGAUAAGCUGUGGGGAGGUGCAAAUAACCGUUAAUCCGCAGAUUUCCGAAUGGGGCAACCCAGCAUAGCGAUAUGUUAUACCAUUAUAUGGUAGGCGAACCCGCUGAACUGAAACAUCUAAGUAAGCGGAGGAAAAGAAAACAAUAGUGAUUCCCUUAGUAGUGGCGAUCGAACGGGGAAGAGCCCAAACCAUGAAUGUUUCGGCAUUUAUGGGGUUGUAGGGCUGCGAUAUAUGAGACAAUCAAGAAGUAGAAUUUUUCUGGAAAGUUUAACCAUAGGGGGUGAAAGUCCCGUACACGUAAUUGAUUGAGGAGUUAGCAGUACCCUGAGUAGGGCGGGACACGUGAAAUCCUGUCUGAAACUGCCGGGACCAUCCGGCAAGGCUAAAUACUACUGAGAGACCGAUAGUGAACCAGUACCGUGAGGGAAAGGUGAAAAGUACCCCGAACAGGGGGGUGAAAUAGUACCUGAAACCGUGCGCCUACAAGCGGUCGGAGCCCAUUCGUUGGGUGACGGCGUGCCUUUUGCAUAAUGAGCCUACGAGUUACUCCUCACUGGCAAGGUUAAGCACAAGAAUGUGUGGAGCCGAAGCGAAAGCGAGUCUGAACAGGGCGCUUGAGUCAGUGGGGGUAGACGCGAAACCUUGUGAUCUACCCAUGGCCAGGUUGAAGGUGAGGUAACACUCACUGGAGGACCGAACCAGGGAACGUUGAAAAGUUCUUGGAUGAGCUGUGGGUAGGGGUGAAAGGCUAAUCAAACUGGGAAAUAGCUCGUACUCCCCGAAAUGCAUUUAGGUGCAGCCUCGGUUAUGAGUCUUGCAGAGGUAGAGCUACUGAUUGGAUGCGAGGGCUUCACCGCCUAUCAACUCCAGACAAACUCCGAAUGCUGUAAGAUGCUCACCGGGAGUGAGGGCGCGGGUGCUAAGGUCCGUGUCCGAGAGGAAAAGAAUCCGGACCAUCAGCUAAGGUCCCCAAGUGUAUGUUAAGUUGAAUUAACGAGGUCUGAUUGCAGAGACAGCUAGGAUGUUGGCUUGGAAGCAGCCAUUCAUUUAAAGAGUGCGUAACAGC